UAGCCCUACGGGGCGCAGCAGUGGGGGAUAUUGCACAAUGGAGGAAACUCUGAUGCAGCGACGCCGCGUGAGGGAAGACGGUCUUCGGAUUGUAAACCUCUGUCUUUGGGGAAGAAAAUGACGGUACCCAAAGAGGAAGCUCCGGCUAACUACGUGCCAGCAGCCGCGGUAAUACGUAGGAUGCGAGCGUUAUCCGGAUUUAUUGGGUUUAAAGGGUGCGUAGGCGGACAGUCAAGUCAGCGGUAAAAAUGCGGUGCUCAACGCCGUACAGCCGUUGAAACUGGCAGUCUUGAGUGGGCGAGAAG
rnacentral:rRNA from 1 species